AUUGAACGCUGGCGGCAUGCCUUACACAUGCAAGUCGAACGGCAUCGCGGGAAAGCUUGCUUUCCUGGCGGCGAGUGGCGAACGGGUGAGUAACACAUCGGAACGUACCGGCUAGUGGGGGAUAACCCGUCGAAAGACGGGCUAAUACCGCAUACGCUCUUCGGAGGAAAGCAGGGGACCUUUGGGCCUUGCGCUAGCCGAGCGGCCGAUGUCCGAUUAGCUAGUUGGUGGGGUAAAGGCCUACCAAGGCGACGAUCGGCAGCGGGUCUGAGAGGAAGAUGCCGCACCACGGGACCUGGGACCCGCCCCGACUCCCACGGGAGGCCGCAGUUGGGAAUCUUUGGCAAUGGGGGGCAACCUGGCCCCGCCAAGGCGCGGGGGUUAAGGAGGGCCUUCGGGUUGAAAAGCCUUUUCGGAGGGAAGAAAAUCGGCGGGAGUAAUAACCCUGCUGGUUACGGUACCUGCAGAAGAAGCACCGGCUAACUACGUG
rnacentral:rRNA from 1 species